rnacentral:tRNA from 1 species
GCCUUCGUGGUGUAGUGGUCAGCAUGCUCGACGCGUAACCGAGAGAUCCGUGGUUCGAUUCCCGGCGAAGACA